UACGAAGGGGGCUAGCGUUGUUCGGAAUUACUGGGCGUAAAGGGCGCGUAGGCGGCUUGGCAAGUUGGGUGUGAAAGCCCAGGGCUCAACCCCUGGAAUUGCACUCAAGACUGCUUUGCUUGAAUUCGGUAGAGGUUGGUGGAAUUCCCAGUGUAGAGGUGAAAUUCGAUAGAGAUUGGGAAGAACACCCGUGGCGAAGGCGGCCAACUGGACCGACAUUGACGCUGAGGCGCGAAAGCGUGGGGAUCAAACAGG
rnacentral:rRNA from 1 species